UACGGGGGGGGUAAGCGUUGUUCGGAAUUACUGGGCGUAAAGGGCUCGUAGGCGGCCAACUAAGUCAGACGUGAAAUCCCUCAGCUUAACUGGGGAACUGCGUCUGAUACUGGAUGGCUUUGAUUUGGGAGAGGGAUGCGGAAUUCCAGGUGUAGCGGUGAAAUGCGUAGAUAUCUGGAGGAACACCGGUGGCGAAGGCGGCAUCCUGGACCAAUAUUGACGCUGAGGAGCGAAAGCCAGGGGAGCAAACGGG
rnacentral:rRNA from 1 species